UUAAGCGACUAAGCGUACACGGUGGAUGCCCUGGCAGUCAGAGGCGAUGAAGGACGUGCUAAUCUGCGAUAAGCGUCGGUAAGGUGAUAUGAACCGUUAUAACCGGCGAUUUCCGAAUGGGGAAACCCAGUGUGUUUCGACACACUAUCAUUAACUGAAUCCAUAGGUUAAUGAGGCGAACCGGGGGAACUGAAACAUCUAAGUACCCCGAGGAAAAGAAAUCAACCGAGAUUCCCCCAGUAGCGGCGAGCGAACGGGGAGCAGCCCAGAGCCUGAAUCAGUGUGUGUGUUAGUGGAAGCGUCUGGAAAGGCGCGCGAUACAGGGUGACAGCCCCGUACACAAAAAUGCACAUGCUGUGAGCUCGAUGAGUAGGGCGGGACACGUGGUAUCCUGUCUGAAUAUGGGGGGACCAUCCUCCAAGGCUAAAUACUCCUGACUGACCGAUAGUGAACCAGUACCGUGAGGGAAAGGCGAAAAGAACCCCGGCGAGGGGAGUGAAAAAGAACCUGAAACCGUGUACGUACAAGCAGUGGGAGCACGCUUCGGCGUGUGACUGCGUACCUUUUGUAUAAUGGGUCAGCGACUUAUAUUCUGUAGCAAGGUUAACCGAAUAGGGGAGCCGAAGGGAAACCGAGUCUUAACUGGGCGUUAAGUUGCAGGGUAUAGACCCGAAACCCGGUGAUCUAGCCAUGGGCAGGUUGAAGGUUGGGUAACACUAACUGGAGGACCGAACCGACUAAUGUUGAAAAAUUAGCGGAUGACUUGUGGCUGGGGGUGAAAGGCCAAUCAAACCGGGAGAUAGCUGGUUCUCCCCGAAAGCUAUUUAGGUAGCGCCUCGUGAAUUCAUCUCCGGGGGUAGAGCACUGUUUCGGCAAGGGGGUCAUCCCGACUUACCAACCCGAUGCAAACUGCGAAUACCGGAGAAUGUUAUCACGGGAGACACACGGCGGGUGCUAACGUCCGUCGUGAAGAGGGAAACAACCCAGACCGCCAGCUAAGGUCCCAAAGUCAUGGUUAAGUGGGAAACGAUGUGGGAAGGCCCAGACAGCCAGGAUGUUGGCUUAGAAGCAGCCAUCAUUUAAAGAAAGCGUAAUAGCUCACUGGUCGAGUCGGCCUGCGCGGAAGAUGUAACGGGGCUAAACCAUGCACCGAAGCUGCGGCAGCGACGCUUAUGCGUUGUUGGGUAGGGGAGCGUUCUGUAAGCCUGCGAAGGUGUGCUGUGAGGCAUGCUGGAGGUAUCAGAAGUGCGAAUGCUGACAUAAGUAACGAUAAAGCGGGUGAAAAGCCCGCUCGCCGGAAGACCAAGGGUUCCUGUCCAACGUUAAUCGGGGCAGGGUGAGUCGACCCCUAAGGCGAGGCCGAAAGGCGUAGUCGAUGGGAAACAGGUUAAUAUUCCUGUACUUGGUGUUACUGCGAAGGGGGGACGGAGAAGGCUAUGUUGGCCGGGCGACGGUUGUCCCGGUUUAAGCGUGUAGGCUGGUUUUCCAGGCAAAUCCGGAAAAUCAAGGCUGAGGCGUGAUGACGAGGCACUACGGUGCUGAAGCAACAAAUGCCCUGCUUCCAGGAAAAGCCUCUAAGCAUCAGGUAACAUCAAAUCGUACCCCAAACCGACACAGGUGGUCAGGUAGAGAAUACCAAGGCGCUUGAGAGAACUCGGGUGAAGGAACUAGGCAAAAUGGUGCCGUAACUUCGGGAGAAGGCACGCUGAUAUGUAGGUGAGGUCCCUCGCGGAUGGAGCUGAAAUCAGUCGAAGAUACCAGCUGGCUGCAACUGUUUAUUAAAAACACAGCACUGUGCAAACACGAAAGUGGACGUAUACGGUGUGACGCCUGCCCGGUGCCGGAAGGUUAAUUGAUGGGGUUAGCGCAAGCGAAGCUCUUGAUCGAAGCCCCGGUAAACGGCGGCCGUAACUAUAACGGUCCUAAGGUAGCGAAAUUCCUUGUCGGGUAAGUUCCGACCUGCACGAAUGGCGUAAUGAUGGCCAGGCUGUCUCCACCCGAGACUCAGUGAAAUUGAACUCGCUGUGAAGAUGCAGUGUACCCGCGGCAAGACGGAAAGACCCCGUGAACCUUUACUAUAGCUUGACACUGAACAUUGAGCCUUGAUGUGUAGGAUAGGUGGGAGGCUUGGAAGUGUGGACGCCAGUCUGCAUGGAGCCGACCUUGAAAUACCACCCUUUAAUGUUUGAUGUUCUAACGUUGACCCGUAAUCCGGGUUGCGGACAGUGUCUGGUGGGUAGUUUGACUGGGGCGGUCUCCUCCUAAAGAGUAACGGAGGAGCACGAAGGUUGGCUAAUCCUGGUCGGACAUCAGGAGGUUAGUGCAAUGGCAUAAGCCAGCUUGACUGCGAGCGUGACGGCGCGAGCAGGUGCGAAAGCAGGUCAUAGUGAUCCGGUGGUUCUGAAUGGAAGGGCCAUCGCUCAACGGAUAAAAGGUACUCCGGGGAUAACAGGCUGAUACCGCCCAAGAGUUCAUAUCGACGGCGGUGUUUGGCACCUCGAUGUCGGCUCAUCACAUCCUGGGGCUGAAGUAGGUCCCAAGGGUAUGGCUGUUCGCCAUUUAAAGUGGUACGCGAGCUGGGUUUAGAACGUCGUGAGACAGUUCGGUCCCUAUCUGCCGUGGGCGCUGGAGAACUGAGGGGGGCUGCUCCUAGUACGAGAGGACCGGAGUGGACGCAUCACUGGUGUUCGGGUUGUCAUGCCAAUGGCACUGCCCGGUAGCUAAAUGCGGAAGAGAUAAGUGCUGAAAGCAUCUAAGCACGAAACUUGCCCCGAGAUGAGUUCUCCCUGACCCUUUAAGGGUCCUGAAGGAACGUUGAAGACGACGACGUUGAUAGGCCGGGUGUGUAAGCGCAGCGAUGCGUUGAGCUAACCGGUACUAAUGAACCGUGAGGCUUAACCUU
rnacentral:rRNA from 1 species